rnacentral:rRNA from 1 species
AUUGAACGCUGGCGGCAUGCCUUACACAUGCAAGUCGAGCGGUGCAGUUUGAAGCUUCGGUGGAAAGCUGCAUAGCGGCGGACGGGUGAGGAAAACGUAGGAACGUGCCCCUUGGAGUUGGAUAGCCACGGGAAACUGUGGGUAAACCGACAUAGACUCGAGAGAGUAAAGGCCGAAAGGCGCCAAGGGAGCGGCCUGCGGCCCAUCAGGUAGUUGGUAGUGUAAAGGACUACCAAGCCGACGACGGGUAGCCGGUCUGAGAGGAUGGCCGGCCACAAGGGCACUGAGAGACGGGCCCUACUCCUACGGGAGGCAGCAGUGGGGGAUUUUGGACAAUGGGGGAAACCCUGAUCUAGCCAUGCCGCGUGAACGAUGAAGGCCUUAGGGUUGUAAAGCUCUUUCAGAUGGGAAGAUAAUGACGGUACCAUCAGAAGAAGCCCCGGCUAACUCCGUG